CUGCUUUCCAACCUUUAGUUCUAACAGUUCUACAAGGACUACUGGUUCAUUCUUUACAAACUAACAUACAGACACUCUGGACACUCAGAAGCUGGAAAGAGAACGAAUACGUCUGUGAAAGCCAAAAAAAAAAUGAGAAAGAGAAACUAAUCCUCCUGAAACAUUUAUUACACUCUACAACUGUAGAGGAAGCCCACGAGCGCAAAAUCUCAAUCCUACCUAGUGGAGUUUAUGAUAAAAAAUCCAAAAGGUGGUAAAUUCUCCGCCAGAAAGUUAAAAUUCCUUCCAAUGAUUUUGUUUAAACCAGCAGCAGAAGGGUCCAAAAAGUUACGAUUUGAAAUUAAAAUAUGAAAACGUUACGCAAAAUGCGUGGCUUUAUAUUUGCAGGUCUGAAAUUUUGAAUUUGAAUUGAUUUUGAAUCGAUUUAGAAUCUUCCACAUCUGAAUCGAGAUGCAUCUAAGAAUUGAACAUUUCUUCCACCUCUAGUUGGAACAAAAUUAUAUACAAGGAAAAUGUUUACUUUAUGGGCCUUAAUGUACCAUCUUUUAUCUAACAAAUGAACCCUUAAUUCAGUCAGUGAGGCAUACAUAAUUAUUUAUAACUUUAAUUUACUUAAUCCUGCCACAAUUACUGUCAUAUUAAAACCCAUUUCUUGUUUUUCAUUUAUUUUAUUGACAUGAUAUGAAGUUUCCAGUACUGUACUGGUGAAUAGUGUUUUUCUAACUGCUGUAAUGUUGUCAUAUCAGAGAUAUAGAGGUUUCCUGUUACACCACACACACACACACACACACACACACACAUUCUAACCCACAUGCAUGAGAGAGAGAGAGCAGUAACAGUAGCUGAUGAGUGUUCAUUAUCUUGUCUAAUCUGGUGUGUGAUAAGUCAGCUGUUGUGUAUUGCAGUGUCGGCGGAACAGCAGGUAAAUGGGUCUGAUUUUGAUCAGGCCGACGGACUAAGCGUGAUGCCCGGUCUGAUGUCUUCAGAUGGUGAGGACUCAGACACCAGCAGCAGUACGGAGGUCAUCAACUGAGCUCAUCCUAUCAGAGGAGGGCUUUUGCACAUGCUCGCUACACUUACUACAACAUUCCCUGCUGGGAUGAUCCGGCCUGGCAGGUGCAACUGGAAUCUGUUAAACAUGCUAUAAAGUGGGCUGUCGAUGCUCACAAUUACACUCCUUCAUAGCAACUGUUGCAAGGUUGGACAAGCUUUAUAUAGAAACCACCUCCUUGUUUCUACACCUAUUAUCCCAUUUUUUUCAGCUCCAUUUAUCAUAUAGAACAGUUUGUAGUUCUAUAAUAAUUACAGACUGUAGUUCUGUAUCUGUUUCUCUGUAUACUUUUUUUAUCAUCCUCCUUUUACCCUGUUUUUUAAUAAUCAGGACCCCACAGGAGAGAAAACCAUCCCAGAGCAGCUAUUUAUGGUAUUUUUUGUGUCCUGUGGGCAGGGUCCUGUAUCCUCUGAUGAAGGACAAGACAAUGACCAACACUGUAAACUCUGCAAAAAGACAUUCAGAACUUCUGUCUCUGACUUUACUUCAUCUACAAGGUAGAGCAGCUGUAUAGGUAGGAGUGUCUAAGGCCCAAUCCCAUUUCACCCCUCGGCCCUACCACUUACCCCUUGCCCUUCUUUUCGAGUGUGAACCCUCCCCUAAGGAUUGGGAAACUCUUCAAGCACCGGCUACAUCAUCAGGAGCGCUAAAGUUCAGUAACCUAUCUGCUGCUGCUGGUUAACUAGUUAACUUUAGGGCGUAUUUUAUUGUAUGUCUUCAGAUAGAGGGGGGAGAUGGUGCAGAAAUGUAUUAUUAUUGUCCAUUCCUUAAUUCCUCUGUGAUGGGGAGCUGAAAUUAGCUUUAAUUCGUUUUUUGGGGGGGGCGGAGUGGUCUAAAGCGCUGCCACUAUGAGCGGGAGGUCACAGGUUUAAACCCCAGCUCAUGCAGCUUUGCCAUCAAGCUGCCGGUGCUUAGAGGGAGCAAAAUUGGUCCUGCUCCCCCUGGGUGGGUAGAUGGCGCUCUCUCCCCACAUCACUCCUAG
ensembl:lncRNA